rnacentral:rRNA from 1 species
GACGAACCGUGCGACCGUUGUUCGGAAUCACUGGGCUUAAAGGGCGCGUAGGCGGCCGUCCGAGUCCGGGGUGAAAUCUUUCGGCCCAACCGGAAAAGGGCCUCGGAUACCGGGCGGCUCGAGGGGGGUAGGGGCACGCGGAACUUCCGGUGGAGCGGUGAAAUGCGUUGAUAUUCGCAAGAACACCAGUGGCGAAGGCGGCUCACUGGCCCGAUACUGACGCUGAGGCACGAAAGCGUGGGGAGCAAACAGG